AUAUGAUGCGGGAGAAGCAGGUUUAUUCCUAACUUGUCUUUUCUACUUUACAUCUGCACGAGAUUAGGGAAAUUACUUUAUUUUUCAAAUCUUCUAAUGGUGUUUUCUAUUAGGGUGCUAAAAUCUCAUAACAAUAAAAUAUGUUUACAAGUCAUUGCACCCAAAAACUGAGGCCAUGGUUUUCCAGUAGGCUAUCCAUUCUCAGAAAAACAGAACGAUAGCAAAU
rnacentral:misc_RNA from 1 species